rnacentral:tRNA from 2 species
GGAGAGGUACCCGAAGCGGCCCAACGGGGUCCGGGUGCAUGCCCGGUCGGGUCUUCACGGCCCGCGCAGGUUCGAAUCCUGCCCUCUCCG